GACGAACGCUGGCGGCGUGCUUAACACAUGCAAGUCGAACGGAAAGGCCCUGCUUUUGUGGGGUGCUCGAGUGGCGAACGGGUGAGUAACACGUGAGUAACCUGCCCUUGACUUUGGGAUAACUUCAGGAAACUGGGGCUAAUACCGGAUAGGAGCUCCUGCUGCAUGGUGGGGGUUGGAAAGUUUCGGCGGUUGGGGAUGGACUCGCGGCUUAUCAGCUUGUUGGUGGGGUAGUGGCUUACCAAGGCUUUGACGGGUAGCCGGCCUGAGAGGGUGACCGGCCACAUUGGGACUGAGAUACGGCCCAGACUCCUACGGGAGGCAGCAGUGGGGAAUAUUGCACAAUGGGCGAAAGCCUGAUGCAGCAACGCCGCGUGCGGAAUGACGGCCUUCGGGUUGUAAACCGCUUUCGCCUGUGACGAAGCGUGAGUGACGGUAAUGGGUAAAGAAGCACCGGCUAACUACGUG
rnacentral:rRNA from 1 species